UACGAAGGGGGCUAGCGUUGCUCGGAUUGACUGGGCGUAAAGGGCGCGUAGGCGGUUCGUACAGUCAGACGUGAAAUUCCUGGGCUCAACCUGGGGGCUGCGUUUGAUACGUGCGGGCUUGAGUUCGGAAGAGGGUCGUGGAAUUCCCAGUGUAGAGGUGAAAUUCGUAGAUAUUGGGAAGAACACCGGUGGCGAAGGCGGCGACCUGGUCCGAUACUGACGCUGAGGCGCGACAGCGUGGGGAGCAAACAGG
rnacentral:rRNA from 1 species